GAGUAAAGAUUUCGGUCGCUUUGGGAGGAGCUCGCUUACUAUCAGCUUGUUGGUAGGGUAAUGGCCUACCAAGGCUAUGACGGUUAGGGGGUGUGAGAGCAUGACCCCCAGCAUUGGCACUGGAACACUGGCCAAACACCUACGGGUGGCUGCAGUCGAGAAUCUUCCACAAUGGGGGAAACCCUGAUGGAGCGAUGCUGCGUGCGGGAUGAAGGCCUUCGGGUUGUAAACCGCUUUUGUAGGGGACGAAAUUUUUGACGGUACCCUUUCGAAUAAGAGGUUGCUAACUCUGUGCCAGCAGCAGCGGUAAUACAGAGACCUCAAGCGUUAUCCGGAUUUACUGGGCGUAAAGCGUCUGUAGGGGGUUUAUUAAGUUCCAAGUAAAAUUUCAAGGCUCAACUUUGAAUUCGCUUGGAAAACUAAUAAACUGGAGUCUAGCAGAGGUGCAUGGAACUUGUGGUGUAGGAGUGAAAUCCGUUGAUAUCACAAGGAACACCAAAGGCGAAGGCAUUGCACUGGGCUAGCACUGACCCUGAGAGACGAAAGCGUGGGGAGCAAAACGGAUUAGAUACCCGUGUAGUCCACGCCCUAAACGAUGAAUGCUAAAUGUUCGGGGAUUCGACCCCCUGGGUGUUACAGCUAACGCGUUAAGCAUUCCGCCUGGGAAGUACGGCCGCAAGGCUAAAACUCAAAGGAAUAGACGGGGAUCCGCACAAGCGGUGGAGCGUCUGGUUUAAUUCGACAGUAAGCGUGGUACCUCACCAGGGUUUGACAUCCCUUGACAGCCUUGGAAACAAGGUUUCCUUCGGGCAAGGUGACAGGUGCUGCAUGGUCGUCGUCAGUUCGUGCCGUGAGGUGUUCCGUUAAGUCGGGAAACGAACGAAACCCCUAUUGCAUGUUACAAUUUCUCAUGCAAGACUGCCCGGAUAUACUGGGAGGAAGGUGGGGAUGACGUCAGAUCUGCAUGGUCCUUAUACCCUGGGCGACACAGGCGCUACAAUGGCAGAGACAAAGGGUUGCAAAACCGCAAGGUGAAGCUAAUCCCGAAAACUUUGUCUAAGUUCGGAUUGAAGGCUGCAAUUCGCCUUCAUGAAGCUGGAAUCGCUAGUAAUCGUGAAUCAGCCACGUCACGGUGAUAUGUUCCCGGAUCUUGUACUCACCGCCCGUCACACCAAGAGAGUUGGUAGCUCCCGAAGCGUCCCGUUUUAGCGGGGCAUCACGGAGAGAUCAGCGAUAGGGGUGAA
rnacentral:rRNA from 1 species